AGCCACCACCGCCACCCAUUUCACUCCAAUUUUCUCACUUGGAUAAUACUUGGACAGCAAGAGAAAGAAAGGAGAAAGAAGAAGAAGAGAAGAGAAGAGAAGGAAAUCAGAGAAGAAAUCAAUUUGCUUAGGAGGCUACUGCAAGAUUCAGCAUCAGGAGUUCCCAAUAGCUGUGAGGGGGCCUAUUCAGCACCAGGAGGAGAGAGUUGUUUCUGAUUGCCAAGGAUGAUGAUUACAGUCAUGGACCUGAUUACAAGUGCGAUGAUUGUGUAUAUGGUGGACAGCAUUUCUGAGAACUGAUGGACAGCAUUUCUGAGAUCUAAUGUAUAUGGUUAUUCUUUUGUGCAUAUAUGGAUAGUGGUAGAAACUAGUUUUUGAUGGUUCAGACUACAUGUGGGAGAAAUGUUAUGUAAUUAGCAGGUGGGAGAAAAGUUUAAUGGUUUAACCGGUGUGAGAACUUUUGUAUAUAUAUAUUUUGAUAUUUGGAUCAUUGUAAUAUGAUGGAUUAUUGUAAGUAGCUUGUGAAUUACUGGACAUAUAAUACUAAGUACCACAUAGAUGCACUGGCUGAAUAUAAACUUUACUUGAUUUUGUAUUAA